UUAAGUUAUUAAGGGCGCACGGUGGAUGCCUUGGCACUAGAAGCCGAUGAAGGACGUUACUAACGACGAUAUGCUUUGGGGAGCUGUAAGUAAGCUUUGAUCCAGAGAUUUCCGAAUGGGGAAACCCAGCAUGAGUUAUGUCAUGUUAUCGAUAUGUGAAUACAUAGCAUAUCAGAAGGCACACCCGGAGAACUGAAACAUCUUAGUACCCGGAGGAAGAGAAAGAAAAUUCGAUUCCCUUAGUAGCGGCGAGCGAAACGGGAAGAGCCCAAACCAACAAGCUUGCUUGUUGGGGUUGUAGGACACUCUAUACGGAGUUACAAAGGACGACAUUAGACGAAUCAUCUGGAAAGAUGAAUCAAAGAAGGUAAUAAUCCUGUAGUCGAAAAUGUUGUCUCUCUUGAGUGGAUCCUGAGUACGACGGAGCACGUGAAAUUCCGUCGGAAUCUGGGAGGACCAUCUCCUAAGGCUAAAUACUCUCUAGUGACCGAUAGUGAACCAGUACCGUGAGGGAAAGGUGAAAAGCACCCCGGAAGGGGAGUGAAAUAGAACCUGAAACCGUGUGCUUACAAGUAGUCAGAGCCCGUUAAUGGGUGAUGGCGUGCCUUUUGUAGAAUGAACCGGCGAGUUACGAUUUGAUGCAAGGUUAAGCAGUAAAUGUGGAGCCGUAGCGAAAGCGAGUCUGAAUAGGGCGUUUAGUAUUUGGUCGUAGACCCGAAACCAGGUGAUCUACCCUUGGUCAGGUUGAAGUUCAGGUAACACUGAAUGGAGGACCGAACCGACUUACGUUGAAAAGUGAGCGGAUGAACUGAGGGUAGCGGAGAAAUUCCAAUCGAACCUGGAGAUAGCUGGUUCUCUCCGAAAUAGCUUUAGGGCUAGCCUCAAGUGAUGAUUAUUGGAGGUAGAGCACUGUUUGGACGAGGGGCCCCUCUCGGGUUACCGAAUUCAGACAAACUCCGAAUGCCAAUUAAUUUAACUUGGGAGUCAGAACAUGGGUGAUAAGGUCCGUGUUCGAAAGGGAAACAGCCCAGACCACCAGCUAAGGUCCCAAAAUAUAUGUUAAGUGGAAAAGGAUGUGGCGUUGCCCAGACAACUAGGAUGUUGGCUUAGAAGCAGCCAUCAUUUAAAGAGUGCGUAAUAGCUCACUAGUCGAGUGACACUGCGCCGAAAAUGUACCGGGGCUAAACAUAUUACCGAAGCUGUGGAUUGUCCUUUGGACAAUGGUAGGAGAGCGUUCUAAGGGCGUUGAAGCAUGAUCGUAAGGACAUGUGGAGCGCUUAGAAGUGAGAAUGCCGGUGUGAGUAGCGAAAGACGGGUGAGAAUCCCGUCCACCGAUUGACUAAGGUUUCCAGAGGAAGGCUCGUCCGCUCUGGGUUAGUCGGGUCCUAAGCUGAGGCCGACAGGCGUAGGCGAUGGAUAACAGGUUGAUAUUCCUGUACCACCUAUAAUCGUUUUAAUCGAUGGGGGGACGCAGUAGGAUAGGCGAAGCGUGCGAUUGGAUUGCACGUCUAAGCAGUAAGGCUGAGUAUUAGGCAAAUCCGGUACUCAUUAAGGCUGAGCUGUGAUGGGGAGAAGACAUUGUGUCUUCGAGUCGUUGAUUUCACACUGCCGAGAAAAGCCUCUAGAUAGAAAAUAGGUGCCCGUACCGCAAACCGACACAGGUAGUCAAGAUGAGAAUUCUAAGGUGAGCGAGCGAACUCUCGUUAAGGAACUCGGCAAAAUGACCCCGUAACUUCGGGAGAAGGGGUGCUCUUUAGGGUUAACGCCCAGAAGAGCCGCAGUGAAUAGGCCCAAGCGACUGUUUAUCAAAAACACAGGUCUCUGCUAAACCGUAAGGUGAUGUAUAGGGGCUGACGCCUGCCCGGUGCUGGAAGGUUAAGAGGAGUGGUUAGCUUCUGCGAAGCUACGAAUCGAAGCCCCAGUAAACGGCGGCCGUAACUAUAACGGUCCUAAGGUAGCGAAAUUCCUUGUCGGGUAAGUUCCGACCCGCACGAAAGGCGUAACGAUUUGGGCACUGUCUCAACGAGAGACUCGGUGAAAUCAUAGUACCUGUGAAGAUGCAGGUUACCCGCGACAGGACGGAAAGACCCCGUGGAGCUUUACUGUAGCCUGAUAUUGAAAUUCGGCACAGCUUGUACAGGAUAGGUAGGAGCCUUUGAAACGUGAGCGCUAGCUUACGUGGAGGCGCUGGUGGGAUACUACCCUAGCUGUGUUGGCUUUCUAACCCGCACCACUUAUCGUGGUGGGAGACAGUGUCAGGCGGGCAGUUUGACUGGGGCGGUCGCCUCCUAAAAGGUAACGGAGGCGCUCAAAGGUUCCCUCAGAAUGGUUGGAAAUCAUUCAUAGAGUGUAAAGGCAUAAGGGAGCUUGACUGCGAGACCUACAAGUCGAGCAGGGUCGAAAGACGGACUUAGUGAUCCGGUGGUUCCGCAUGGAAGGGCCAUCGCUCAACGGAUAAAAGCUACCCCGGGGAUAACAGGCUUAUCUCCCCCAAGAGUUCACAUCGACGGGGAGGUUUGGCACCUCGAUGUCGGCUCAUCGCAUCCUGGGGCUGUAGUCGGUCCCAAGGGUUGGGCUGUUCGCCCAUUAAAGCGGUACGCGAGCUGGGUUCAGAACGUCGUGAGACAGUUCGGUCCCUAUCCGUCGUGGGCGUAGGAAAUUUGAGAGGAGCUGUCCUUAGUACGAGAGGACCGGGAUGGACAUACCUCUGGUGUACCAGUUGUCGUGCCAACGGCAUAGCUGGGUAGCUAUGUGUGGACGGGAUAAGUGCUGAAAGCAUCUAAGCAUGAAGCCCCCCCUCAAGAUGAGAUUUCCCAACUUCGGUUAUAAGAUCCCUCAAAGAUGAUGAGGUUAAUAGGUUCGAGGUGGAAGCAUGGUGACAUGUGGAGCUGACGAAUACUAAUCGAUCGAAGACUUAAUCAA
rnacentral:rRNA from 1 species